rnacentral:rRNA from 1 species
CAGUCGUGAGGAAGGUGGUGUAGUUAAUAGCUGCAUCAUUUGACGUUAGCGACAGAAGAAGCACCGGCUAACUCCGUGCCAGCAGCCGCGGUAAUACGGAGGGUGCGAGCGUUAAUCGGAAUUACUGGGCGUAAAAGCGCAUGCAGGUGGUUUGUUAAGUCAGAUGUGAAAAGCCCGGGCUCAAACCUCGGAAAUAGCAUUUGAAAACUGGCAGACUAGAGUACUGUAGAGGGGGUAGAAUUUCAGGUGUAGCGGUGAAAAUGCGUAGAGAUCUGAAGGAAUACCGGUGGCGAAGGCGGCCCCCUGGACAGAUACUGACACUCAGACUGCGAAAGCGUGGGGAGCAAACAGGAUUAGAUACCCUGGUAG